AAAUUAAACUAGAAAUGGCGCGGCAGAGGCCGACGCGUAUCCCCACGCCGCAUGUUUGACCCAAGGGCGCCCCAGGGUUGAUCAUGGGGCCAUGCAUAGUUGAGAUUGACUGUAUUGUCAUAAGAGAAGUUCAGUAUCAAUUAGAAGUGAAUGGGUGUAAAAAUAAAGAAGUUAUAGUAAAAGGCAAUUUUGGGAGGGUGUGGCCUAUGUGGGCGGGGUGCCCCAGGGUUGGUAAUGGGGCCAUGCAUAGUUGAGAUUGACCGUAUUGUCAUAAGAGAGGUUCAGUAUCAAUUUGAAGUGAAUCAGUGUAUUAAUGAAGAAAUUAUAGUAAAAGGCAAUUUUGGGCGGGUGUGGUCUAUGUGGGCGUGGCGCCCCAGGGUUGGCAACGGGGCCAUGCAUAGUUGAGUUUGACCGUUUUGUCAUAAGAGAGGUUCAGUAUCAAUUUGAAGUGAAUCAGUGUAUUAAUGAAGAAAUUAUAGUAAAAGGCAAUUUUGGGCGGGUGUGGUCUAUGUGGGCGUGGCGCCCCAGGGUUGGCAACGGGGCCAUGCAUAGUUGAGUUUGACCGUUUUGUCAUAAGAGAGGUUCAGUAUCAAUUUGAAGUGAAUCAGUGUAGAAAUGAAGAAGUUAAUGUAAAAUAACCUAAAUUUUUUUUAUAGUAAAUGGAUUUUUUUGGUGGGUGUGGCCUAUGUGGGCGGGCGCCCCAGGGUUGGGAUUGGGGCCAUGCAUAGUUGAGAUUGACCCUAAUGUCAUAACAAAAGUUCAGUAUCAAUUUGAAGUGAAUCCGUGUAGAAAUGAAAAAAUUAUAGUAAAUGGAAAUUUUUGGUGGGUGUGGCCUAUGUGGGCGGGGCGCCCCAGGGUUGGGAAUGGGGCCAUGCAUGGUUGAGAUUGACCGUAUUGUCAUAGGUGAGGUCCAGUAUCAAUUUGAAGUGAAUCGGUGUAGAAAUAAAGAAGUAAAUGUAAAAUAACCUAAAAAAAUGAGUGAUAAUUUCUGACGCGGCCCCACCCCAACCCCUAUAACUUUUGACCCAGGGGUCAGAUCAAAAUUCCAAAUAGUGCACCGUCGCACAUAUGCUCAUAGCUACCAUGUGUGUAAAUUUCAAGGUUCUAGUGCUUUUAGUGUAGGAGGAGAUAGUGGCCAGGACGGACGGACAGACGGACGGACAGACGGACAGACGGACGGACGGACGGCGGAGAUCACCACAAUAUCCCCA